UAAGGAAUAUUGCUCAAUGGGAGAAAUCCUGAAGCAGCAACGCCGCGUGGAGGAUGAAGGGUCUAUGACUUGUAAACUCCUGUAAAGAAGGAAAAAAUUCCCAUUUGAUGGGAGAUGAUGGUACUUCUGGAGUAAGCCCCGGCUAACUACGUGCCAGCAGCCGCGGUAAUACGUAGGGGGCAAGCGUUGUCCGGAUUUACUGGGUGUAACGGGUGCUCAGGCGGAUUUGUAAGUCAGAGGUGAAAUCUUACAGCUUAACUGUGAAACUGCCUUUGAUACUGCAAGCCUAGAGUAUGGAAGAGNGUGAUGGAAUAUCUGGUGUAGCAGUGAAAUGCGUAGAUAUCAGAUAGAACACCAAUGGCGAAGGCAGUCACUUGGUCCAUUACUGACGCUAAAGCACGAAAGCGUGGGUAGCAAACA
rnacentral:rRNA from 1 species